UGGAGAGUUUGAUCCUGGCUCAGGACGAACGCUGGCGGCGUGCCUAAUACAUGCAAGUCGAACGAAACUUUCUUACACCGAAUGCUUGCAUUCACCGUAAGAAGUUGAGUGGCGGACGGGUGAGUAACACGUGGGUAACCUGCCUAAAAGAAGGGGAUAACACUUGGAAACAGGUGCUAAUACCGUAUAUCUCUAAGGAUCGCAUGAUCCUUAGAUGAAAGAUGGUUCUGCUAUCGCUUUUAGAUGGACCCGCGGCGUAUUAACUAGUUGGUGGGGUAACGGCCUACCAAGGUGAUGAUACGUAGCCGAACUGAGAGGUUGAUCGGCCACAUUGGGACUGAGACACGGCCCAAACUCCUACGGGAGGCAGCAGUAGGGAAUCUUCCACAAUGGACGCAAGUCUGAUGGAGCAACGCCGCGUGAGUGAAGAAGGUCUUCGGAUCGUAAAACUCUGUUGUUAGAGAAGAACACGAGUGAGAGUAACUGUUCAUUCGAUGACGGUAUCUAACCAGCAAGUCACGGCUAACUACGUGCCAGCAGCCGCGGUA
rnacentral:rRNA from 2 species